rnacentral:rRNA from 1 species
AUUGAACGCUGGCGGCAGGCCUAACACAUGCAAGUCGAGCGAGCGGCGGACGGGUGAGUAAUGUAUGGGGACUGCCCGAUAGAGGGGGAUAACUACUGGAAACGGUGGCUAAUACCGCAUACUAUUGGAUAACCCAUAUGGGAUUAGCUAGUAGGUGGGGUAAAGGCUCACCUAGGCGACGAUCCCUAGCUGGUCUGAGAGGAUGAUCGGCCACACUGGGACGGAGACACGGCCCAAACUCUUACGGAGGCAGCAGUGGGAAAUAUUGCACAAUGGGCGCAAGCCUGAUGCGGCCAUGCGGGGUGUAUGAGGAAGGCCUUAGGGUUGUAAAGUACGUUCAGCGGGGAGGCGGUACCCGCAGAAGAAGCACCGGCUAACUCCGUGCCAGCAGCCGCGGUAAUAC